rnacentral:lncRNA from 1 species
CACAAUCAGGUCCCAUUCUAUAGAUGGGGAAACUGAGGCUUGAGGUCACAUAGGCGUCGUUCAAGGCUGGUAUACCUGCACCCUCUCCCAUGUGAACAACAUGGUUCUGGGUAAUGGGGGCUGUCAUCCAGUCUCCUCCCUGCCCCUGCUGGUGCACUUCCUGCCUCUGCUGGUGCACUUUCUGCCCCUACUGGUAUAUUUGCUGCCUCUGCUGGGGCGCUUCCUGCCUCGGCUGGUGUAUCUCCUGCCCCUGCUGGUGCACUUUCUGCCCCCGCUGAUGCACUUCCUGCCUCUGCUGGUGCACUUCCUGGCUCUGCUGGCGCACUUCCUGCCUCUGCUGGUGCACUUCCUGGCUCUGCUGGCGCACUUCCUGCCCCUGCUGGUGUAUUUCCUGCCCCUGCUGGUGUACUUCCUUCCCCUGCUGGUGCACUUCCUGCCUCUGCUGGCGCACUUCUUGCCUCUCCAGGCCCUACCUAGCCUCUCCCUCUUAUAUAUGGAAGUCUUCCCAGUUCACUGACACUGGUAACAGGGACUCUGCUCUUGGUGUUGCUGUCUGCCCUGGGGAUGGGCAUCUGUGUCUUCCUUUACUACUGCUGGCUCAGGACCCAGAGCUUUGAAGCAUGUCCAGAUGCAGGUCCGGGCACCAGAGUCUAAGGAGCCCCUACACCCACCAGGAUUUUCCAAUAAAGAGAUGUUCACCAAUG